rnacentral:rRNA from 1 species
GAUGAACGCUGGCGGCGUGCCUAAUACAUGCAAGUAGAACGCUGAAGGAAGGAGCUUGCUCUUUCCGGAUGAGUUGCGAACGGGUGAGUAACGCGUAGGUAACCUGCCUGGUAGCGGGGGAUAACUAUUGGAAACGAUAGCUAAUACCGCAUAACAGUAGAUGUUGCAUGAUAUCUACUUAAAAGGUGCAAUUGCACCACUACCAGAUGGACCUGCGUUGUAUUAGCUAGUUGGUGAGGUAACGGCUCACCAAGGCGACGAUACAUAGCCGACCUGAGAGGGUGAUCGGCCACACUGGGACUGAGACACGGCCCAGACUCCUACGGGAGGCAGCAGUAGGGAAUCUUCGGCAAUGGACGGAAGGCUGACCGAGCAACGCCGCGUGAGUGAAGAAGGGUUUCGGAUCGUAAAGCUCUGUUGUAAGAGAAGAACGAGUGUGAGAGUGGAAAGUUCACACUGUGACGGUAUCUUACCAGAAAGGGACGGCUAACUACGUG